UUUGAUCGUAGUCGUUGAACGCUGGCGGGAUGCUUUACACAUGCAAGUCGAGCAGCGGCACGGACUUCGGUCUGGUGGCGAGUGGCAACGGGUGAGUAAUGUAUCGGAACGUGCCUAGUAGCGGGGGAUAACUACGCGGCGCCAGCUAAUACCGCAUACGCCCUUCAGGGGAAAGCGGGGGGACCUUCGGGCCUCGCACUAUUAGAGCGGCCGAUAUCGGAUUAGCUGGUUGGUGGGUAACGUCUCACCAAAGGCGACGAUCGUGAUUUGAGAGGACGACCAGCCACACUGGGACUGAGACACGGCCCAGACUCUACGGGAGGCGGCAGUGGGGAAUUUUGGACAAUGGGGAAACCUGAUCCAGCCAUCCCGCGUGUGCGAUGAAGGCCUUCGGGUUGUAAAGCACUUUUGGCAGGAAAGAAACGGCCUGGGAUAUUACCCCGUGCACAACUGACGACACCUGCAGAAUGGCACCGGCUAACUACCGGUGCCAGCAACCGCGGUAAUACGUAGGGUGCAAGCGUUAAUCGGAAUUACUGGGCGUAAAGCGUGCGCGGUGGUUCGGAAGAAGAUGUGAAAUCCCAGAGCGCAACUUUGGAACUGCAUUUUAACUACCGAGCUAGAGUGUGUCAGAGGGAGGUAGAUUCCGCGCGAUAGCCAGUGAAAUGCGUAGAUAUGCGGAGGAACACCGAUGGCGAAGGCAACCUCCUGGGAUAGUGUGAAGACACUCUCGCGAAAACAGUGGGAAUUGGCAGGAUUCUGGACAUUUUCGUCCACGCCCGCUAAACGAUGUCGAGCUGGCUGGUUUCAGGGCCUUCGGGCCUUGGUAGCGCAACUAACGCGUGAAGUUGACCGCCUGGGAGUACGGUCGCAAGAUUAAAACUCAAGGAAUUGACGGGGACCCGCACAAGCGGUGGAUGAUGUGGAUUAAUUCGAUGUGCGGCGCGAGAAAAGGGAAGCCUUGCCUGCCGCUUGACAGCUUGCAUAUUGUUGGGGUCUGGAAGAGAUUUGGAGUGCUCGCAAGAGAACCGGAACACAGGUGCCAUGGCUGUCGUCAGCUCGUGUCGUGAGAUGUUGGGUUAAGUCCCGCAACGAGCACAACCCUUGUCUACGUUAGUUGCUACGAAGGGCACUCUAAUGAGGCUGCCGGUGACAAACCGGAGGAAGGUGAGGAUGACGUCAGUCUCCAUGGCCCUUAUGGGUAGGGCUUCACGUCAUACAAUGGUCGGGACGAAGACCGCCAACCCGCGAGGAGCCAAUCCCGAAACCCGAUCGUAGUCCGGAUCGCAGUCUGCAACUCGACUGCGUGAAGUCGAAUCGCUGAAAGUAAUCGCGGAUCAACAUGUCGCGGUGAAUACGUUCCCGGGUCUUGUACACACCGCCCGUCACACCAUGGGAGUGGGUUUUACCAGAAGUAGUUGGCUAACCGUAAGGAGGGCGAUUACACCACAGUAGGAUUCAUGACUGGGGUGAGAUCGUAACAAGGUA
rnacentral:rRNA from 1 species